rnacentral:lncRNA from 1 species
GUAGGCAUAUCAUACGGAAGUGGUAUAGUCGGAUGUGGUGUGUUCGUUGGUGAAGUCUUGUGCGUCUCGGGUGGUGGUGCAACUAGCAUCGAUGGUGAUCUUGUGGGAUCGUGGUCAUAUUGAGUGGUGCAAUAGAAAAUUCCUUCAGUAUGAAACCAUGUGACAGAAACUUGAGGAAGAAUAUACAUUAUUAUUGGUCCAUGGUUAGCAAAUAAAAGUUUGCAAAAAAAAAAAGGUCCCAGAUCCGCACGGGUUGAAGACAAUUUUCAACGAGUUAAAGGGUCAUUUUGCGCAUGGCAUGAUUUUUUUGCGUCUUUUUUUUGUUUUGCAUCAUGUUCUUUUAACCGGCAUGAGAUUGUUUUGAGGGGGAGAUGUGACACCAUCUUCGGCGCCAUCACCAACUAUACUUUAAUAGUAAAGAAGAUAUGAUCGGCCCAAAUAUUAUAGACCAUCGACCAACUAUAUCCGAGUAUUGGGCCAAAAGGAAAUAUGGGUGGAGACACUUCUUUUGAAAAUUCAACUUAAAUAUUUAUCUUAAAAACUAAACAAGAUAUUGUUGCAAUUCUGAAAUUUAAAGGAGGCUUGUGGGUCAACAGAUUCAGCCUGCUUUUGGUCCGCCGCGAAGCACAGCGUGCCUUUCCUUCACAAGAAAAACAUCAUGUCUCGGUGUCUCCGGUUCAAAAUUCAAGCAUUCGUCUAAUCAAACUGUAUCAAGGGAGUCCUAGCAAAAUUGCACUUUUUUUUUGAGCAUUUUGCAGAACAUCUUUGGC